UCAUUACCCAACUAAUCAUCACAGUUCGAAUAAAAUCAAAGAAUAAACGCAAAACUAUGAUCGCAAUCUUCAAUUACAAUUCAGUUAAAACCUAAUGAAAGCUCGAAAUUUCUCGGAUCGAAUCAAGCUACUGCGAAAUGUGGAAAAUUUGGAAAACGAAGUAUUAGAAGUGAGAGAAUUCUAGAAAUUUACACAAACUGAGAUUGUGCGAGACCUCCUUCGCGGUCAGCCCAACAAAAACGACUCUCUCUCUCUCUCUCUCUCUCUCACUCAUUGUCUUUUUCUGAGUUUACAACUACAAUGGCGUCGCCUUCCGAUCCCUCCAACCAGCAGGCUGCUGCUAGGAAACAAACAAAGGACCCCCUUUGAAAUUUCUGUUUCCCCUAAUUUAUGCUCCUGUUCUUCCUCUCAUUCGAAUUCAAUUGCGACAUAACCCUGUUUUGAGGGACUGUUUGUUCACUGCUGUGCUUGCUGGGGCAUUUGCUCAUGGGUUUUUUUUUUUUUAUUUGGUUUUUGUUGAUGCUAUUCUAAAAUCUAAUAAUAUGAUUAGGGUUAUCUGAGACAUGUUGCUAACUGGUUUCCCAAGGACCAAAUUCACUGUCUGCUUAUAAUAUUUCAUAAUUCAUUGUUAUUAAACAAUAACCCAUUUCAAUGCUAUACAGCAUGAUAACAAUGCAAAUAUAUAUAUUUGGGAUUAAAGGAUUACUUUAAGCAAUUAGAUGUAUGGUUGUAUGAUUUUAAAUGUUAACCUUGCUGGCUUUGAAGUCAUAAAAUGGCAAACUAAUGUUAUGGAUGGGGGCUUUAGACUACUUAAUUUAGUAGAUGCAAAAAAAUUGUUAUUCCAUGUUAAACUUUCAACAUACAAAAAAAAUAAAUGGACAUAAAGCAAGUGCCGAACUUUAUCUUAAAGGAAUAUUCGUCUCAGUUUGCUAAGCUAAAAUGAAAAUCGAGAAAGUAAAGUGAGAUCUGUUUGUCCCGACAGAGGGAAAAGUGAUCUUGAAGAUCAUUGUUUCGAAAGCCCUAGAUCGAAACUAUGAUCCCAACUUGUGAAGCACAGUAGAGAGAGAGAGAGAGAGAGAGAGGGAACUCAACGGGUCUCUUUUAUGAGAGAGUGAUCUUACCUGGAGAGCAGUAGUUUUGGGAGCGAGGGUAUGGAAGAAGAAGAACAGGGCUAGAGAGCAGCAGUUUCGGGAGCGAGGGUAUGGAAGAAGAAGAACAGGGAGGGAGAGAGAGAUAAAGAGGGAAUGGGGUGGGUGAGAACAAAGAAGGGAGGAGAUAAAGAUAGAAUAACAGAGUGAUCUUAAAGAUAGAAUGGAGAUGAGACGUGGGUGAGUAGGAAGUUUAGCGUUUGGGCGGAAAGUAAAUUGAUAUAUAUUUAAAGGGGCUCAUCUCAUCCGUCUAUCUAAAUACGCAAGUGAAUCAUGACCAUUAAAAUGUCCUAGUAGCAAAAUUUUCUCUAGGAUAAAUUCAAAAACCUUUCUCCCUUAUUAUAUAGAUUUCAAUUCAACAACGCCAUCACCAAAGGGAAAAUUAAAUAUUUGGACAGAUCUAAUAUAUUGAAUAUAUUGAAUAAAAUAUAUAUUUCAGUGACAAGUAUGACAAGAACAAGGACACUACAACACCUUUAAAUCUGAUUCCCACAUUGACCUACAAAGUAUCUCUCAAUUUUUGUUCAUGAAAGACAAUGAAACAAUAACCAAUCAUAUCCACCCACAACAUCAAGCAUUGCAAGGAAAUUAACCAAUGUGGAAACAGACUGAUAACUUAACUUAACUCAAAACCAAUGGUUAUGCAUCACAAAUUAAUGCACUGUUUUUCAGUUACAAAACCCCCAUCCCUCCCCUCAAAAUAAACUGCUACGAAAGAGAAUUUAAGGUGUCAAGGGAUUUCAAUUUGUCAUCAAGCUUUACAACCAAUAUCAUAUUGCAUAUAUAUAUGACAUAUAUCAGAAAAAAAAAUUAAAAAAAAAUAGGGACAGAUCUUAGUUCAAAAAUCUGGACAUCUAUCAGGGGGGAAAAAAAAACAAGGACAGAUCUUAGUUCAACAAAUCUGGACAGAUUUUAGUUCAAAAAUCUGGACAUAUAUCAGGAAAAAAAAAUAAUACUAAGGACAAAACUUAGUUCAACAAAUCUGGACAUAUAUCAGAAAAAAAAAAAAAA